AUGAACGCUAGCUACAGGCUUAACACAUGCAAGUCGAGGGGCAGCAUGGUCUUAGCUUGCUAAGGCCGAUGGCGACCGGCGCACGGGUGAGUAACACGUAUCCAACCUGCCGUCUACUCUUGGACAGCCUUCUGAAAGGAAGAUUAAUACAAGAUGGCAUCAUGAGUCCGCAUGUUCACAUGAUUAAAGGUAUUCCGGUAGACGAUGGGGAUGCGUUCCAUUAGAUAGUAGGCGGGGUAACGGCCCACCUAGUCUUCGAUGGAUAGGGGUUCUGAGAGGAAGGUCCCCCACAUUGGAACUGAGACACGGUCCAAACUCCUACGGGAGGCAGCAGUGAGGAAUAUUGGUCAAUGGGCGAGAGCCUGAACCAGCCAAGUAGCGUGAAGGAUGACUGCCCUAUGGGUUGUAAACUUCUUUUAUAAAGGAAUAAAGUCGGGUAUGGAUACCCGUUUGCAUGUACUUUAUGAAUAAGGAUCGGCUAACUCCGUGCCAGCAGCCGCGGUAAUACGGAGGAUCCGAGCGUUAUCCGGAUUUAUUGGGUUUAAAGGGAGCGUAGAUGGAUGUUUAAGUCAGUUGUGAAAGUUUGCGGCUCAACCGUAAAAUUGCAGUUGAUACUGGAUAUCUUGAGUGCAGUUGAGGCAGGCGGAAUUCGUGGUGUAGCGGUGAAAUGCUUAGAUAUCACGAAGAACUCCGAUUGCGAAGGCAGCCUGCUAAGCUGCAACUGACAUUGAGGCUCGAAAGUGUGGGUAUCAAACAGGAUUAGAUACCCUGGUAGUCCACACGGUAAACGAUGAAUACUCGCUGUUUGCGAUAUACUGCAAGCGGCCAAGCGAAAGCGUUAAGUAUUCCACCUGGGGAGUACGCCGGCAACGGUGAAACUCAAAAGAAUUGACGGGGGCCCGCACAAGCGGAGGAACAUGUGGUUUAAUUCGAUGAUACGCGAGGAACCUUACCCGGGCUUAAAUUGCAGAUGAAUUACGGUGAAAGCCGUAAGCCGCAAGGCAUCUGUGAAGGUGCUGCAUGGUUGUCGUCAGCUCGUGCCGUGAGGUGUCGGCUUAAGUGCCAUAACGAGCGCAACCCUUGUUGUCAGUUACUAACAGGUUCCGCUGAGGACUCUGACAAGACUGCCAUCGUAAGAUGUGAGGAAGGUGGGGAUGACGUCAAAUCAGCACGGCCCUUACGUCCGGGGCUACACACGUGUUACAAUGGGGGGUACAGAGGGCCGCUACCACGCGAGUGGAUGCCAAUCCCCAAAACCUCUCUCAGUUCGGACUGGAGUCUGCAACCCGACUCCACGAAGCUGGAUUCGCUAGUAAUCGCGCAUCAGCCACGGCGCGGUGAAUACGUUCCCGGGCCUUGUACACACCGCCCGUCAAGCCAUGGGAGCCGGGGGUACCUGAAGUGCGUAACCGCGAGGAGCGCCCUAGGGUAAAACUGGUGACUGGGGCU
rnacentral:rRNA from 1 species